GCAGUCGGCAAUAUCAUUGUGCUUGUGGUGGCACAGUUCAGUAGCCUGGUACAGUGGGCUGAAUUCAUUUUGUUUGCCUGCCUUCUGCUGGUGGUCUUCCUGAUCUUCUCCAUCAUGGCCUACUAUUACAUUCCUGUAACUGCAGAGAAAAUUCAGGGGUCGGAAGAUAAGAAGAUUCCCCAUAUCCAAGGAGACAUGAUCAACCUAGAAACGCAGAAGACCAAGCUCUGAUGACUCCCUGGACUCUAACCUGACCCCAGGUCCUAGCCAUGGGCUUACCCAUCACUCAUUCUCAAGCAUUGUUCCCCCUCUACUGGAUUAGGCAAAGAGGUAGCGUCAUAUCUGAGCUGACUUCCUGCACCUUUCUCCCAUGAUAGAGGCAGUUCGAGGACAGUUGGUUAUGUCUUCGAACAAGAUCCCUGAGACUCAGUGUCUUCCCUUCUUUUUGUGAACUCAGUAAACCUUGUAUAGUGUUU